GUGGCGGAACGCGCAGGAAUUGGCUGUCUUCUGGGCACGGCUGGGUCGCAAGACCUGCACCGCUCCGCCGCGGAAUUUUUGAGUGCUUUCCCCUCUUUCUCUCUCUCUCUCUCUCUUUUUUUUUUAAUUUAUUUUUUCCAAGACAGACGUUAUCGUCGCCGAGGUGACUGUGUCAUCUGUUCAACUUGCUAAGAAGACAGACAGCCUCCUCUGCCCAGCUUGGCCACAACUCCUUCCCCUGUCCUUUGGGAAUGACAGGAGGAUUUAGAAGCCUGUUCUAAAUGUCAGCGUCCGGGGGCUGCGUCUCCGCGAGUGCGCACGCUGCCUCCGCUCUGCGCAUCGUCGCGCACCCCUAAAACGGUCAAACCAGAUGCCGUGAGCUGAGCAGUGUUCCUUCAUAAUAUUCUUCUUCAGUGAUGACUCUGCCUCUCUUCCCAGGGGCAUAAAAUCAGGGGAGCAGGCUGAUCGUGCACAGAAACCUCCAAAACUGUGAGCCACAAGAAAUCUUCCUUCCUUACAUUUAAGUUGUUUUUCUCAGAUUAUUCCACGCAGCCUCAAUCAGCUGGCUAGGGAACUCGAACCAGUGCCCCACAUUCUGCUGACAUUGUGGUUCACAGCUGAGGCCCACAUACCGUCAGUCAACUGCCUGGGGAUCAUGGUCCGAAAGGCAAGUGUUCCACUGCCAUUGUGGUUCUCAUCUGAGCCAUGUACUCCGUCAACUGCGUGGAGAUCCCAGACCUGGUGGCCCACCUCCCGCUGUCAUCGUGGGACAAACCUGAUACCCAGGAAAUUUAGGGACCAUAGAGACCUUCGGUGAGCUGCCUGGGAACAGUGAGGCACAGUACUUUGCCUCUGGCAUCCAAAAUGACAAGACAAACAAGCAAAAUGCAAUCUCAGAUCUUCACCCCACCCAGAACUAUUCCAGGAGACAUCAAAACAGGAGAACUUGGAAGUCAGACACCUGAAAUCUCCGAAAUGAUUGCAAUUGAAGUAAAGAAAUAACUCCAUCAGGCCAUAGAAGAGAUGAGAUCAGAAAUAAUGUCUCAGGUAAAAAAAUG